UUGCACUGAAAAGUGUCAUGUGAUGGCUAUAUUUGUCAUGUGUCUCAUUCCAGUGCUAAAUUAAAGUGGAUAUUUAGAAUAGCAUGCUCAUAGUGUUGUGAGUGUUUUGUAUUUAUCCAUACAUUA